rfam:Paenibacillus naphthalenovorans strain 32O-Y, complete genome.
CCGUGCUAGACGGGGAGGUAGCGGUGCCCUGUAACCCGCAAUCCGCUGUAGCGGGGUCGAACGCCUAAUCGCGGUAUUGCGAUGUGAGGGUUGGGUUUUAAAGUCGGUGUUGAGAGUCGGGUCCUUCGCAAUGGAUGCCCGUGAACCCGGUCAGGUCCGGAAGGAAGCAGCCGUAAGCGGGAUGGUUCAUGUGCCGAAGGGUGGCCUAACUUGAGUCGAUGAUAAAAAUUCCACUUGGAUCGUAAUAUCAAGGUAGGUGCACGG